ACUCUGGUAAAUCACAUCAGCUUUAUCAGAAUUUAGAAAAAUGAAUUAAACUACAACUUUUGAACAGUCAUUGUUUGUGAAGUUGCCUUUGUUAUCACUUGAUUAGUUUGCUUACUGUUGAAACAUGGUUUUAAUUUUGUAAAUUCAAUGAUAUGAAAUUUACUCUAUUAAUCAUUAGUUGACAGUUAAAGAGAAGCUGGAGCUUUACAUAAUAAAGGCAUUGGAAGGCUUUACUUGACUUUCUUUUUAUAGUACCUGCUGUGUUGUAACAGAUCUUAAAAAGAACUUUACGGAUGUUAACGUAGUCUUUUUUGUUGGUAACCGUAACCAAUUAUUUAAUUACUAAUAACCCGUAUUACGGGUUGCUUACU